GCAACAUUGUCGUUUUUGGGGGAGUCGGAGCCCAACCGACCACCCCGAUAUGGCCUUGGGACGGUUCACUCAAUUUGUAAUGAAGAAAUUAAGAUUUUUCAGUUAGCCCCAGGACCUGUACCUUUCAAGCAAGAUGCCAUCUUCUUUGAGACUUCCAAAUUUCACUCAGCAAGCAUAUAGAUAUGGCAUUGCACUCUCUUGUAUUGGUGUUUUAAUUAACUGGCUUGGCGUAGCACAGCCCUAUAUUGAGCCUGUCCGGUACCUGGGUGUUGGGCUAGUGAUCAUAGGGUCUUUCCUCAUUAUUGCUGCUAUGUGUCGUUGGAUGUUUCUUUCUCCUAACCCAAGUACCGUCCAUGAGGUAAGGG